rnacentral:rRNA from 1 species
GACGAACGUUGGCGGCGUGGAUUAGGCAUGCAAGUCGAACGAAGACGGCUUGGUAGCAAUAUUGAGCCGGACUGAGUGGCGAAAGGGGCAGUAAUGCGUGGGCAACCUACCUCCGGGAUGGGCAUAGCCGGCCUAACGGCCGGGUAAUUCCCAGCGAUUUGGCGAGGCGGCAUCGUUUUGCCAAGAAAUGGAUUCCGCCUGGAGAGGGGCUCACGUCGUAUUAGCUAGUUGGCGGGGUAACGGCCCACCAAGGCGAAGAUGCGUAGCGGGUGUGAGAGCACGACCCGCGCCACUGGCACUGAGACACUGGCCAGACACCUACGGGGUGGCUGCAGUCGAGGAUCUUUGGCAAUGGGCGCAAGCCUGACCAAGCGACGCCGCGUGUGC